rnacentral:rRNA from 1 species
GGUUAAGCGACUAAGCGUACACGGUGGAUGCCCUGGCAGUCAGAGGCGAUGAAGGGCGUGCUAAUCUGCGAUAAGCGCCGGUAAGGUGAUAUGAACCGUUAUAACCGGCGAUACCCGAAUGGGGAAACCCAGUGUGAAGGCUAAAUACUCCUGACUGACCGAUAGUGAACCAGUACCGUGAGGGAAAGGCGAAAAGAACCCCGGCGAGGGGAGUGAAAAAGAACCUGAAACCGUGUACGUACAAGCAGUGGGAGCACAGGUUUACCUGUGUGACUGCGUACCUUUUGUAUAAUGGGUCAGCGACUUAUAUUCUGUAGCAAGGUUAACCGAAUAGGGGAGCCGGAGGGAAACCGAGUCUUAAUUGGGCGUUAAGUUGCAGGGUAUAGACCCGAAACCCGGUGAUCUAGCCAUGGGCAGGUUGAAGGUUGGGUAACACUAACUGGAGGACCGAACCGACUAAUGUUGAAAAAUUAGCGGAUGACCUGUGGCUGGGGGUGAAAGGCCAAUCAAACCGGGAGAUAGCUGGUUCUCCCCGAAAGCUAUUUAGGUAGCGCCUCGUGAAUUCAUCUCCGGGGGUAGAGCACUGUUUCGGCUAGGGGGCCAUCCCGGCUUACCAACCCGAUGCAAACUGCGAAUACCGGAGAAUGUUAUCACGGGAGACACACGGCGGGUGCUAACGUCCGUCGUGAAGAGGGAAACAACCCAGACCGCCAGCUAAGGUCCCAAAGUCAUGGUUAAGUGGGAAACGAUGUGGGAAGGCCCAGACAGCCAGGAUGUUGGCUUAGAAGCAGCCAUCAUUUAAAGAAAGCGUAAUAGCUCACUGGUCGAGUCGGCCUGCGCGGAAGAUGUAACGGGGCUAAACCAUGCACCGAAGCUGCGGCAGCGAUAACAUCAAAUCGUACCCCAAACCGACACAGGUGGUCAGGUAGAGAAUACCAAGGCGCUUGAGAGAACUCGGGUGAAGGAACUAGGCAAAAUGGUGCCGUAACUUCGGGAGAAGGCACGCUGACAYGUAGGUGAAGUGAUUUACUCAUGGAGCUGAAGUCAGUCGAAGAUACCAGCUGGCUGCAACUGUUUAUUAAAAACACAGCACUGUGCAAACACGAAAGUGGACGUAUACGGUGUGACGCCUGCCCGGUGCCGGAAGGUUAAUUGAUGGGGUCAGCGCAAGCGAAGCUCCUGAUCGAAGCCCCGGUAAACGGCGGCCGUAACUAUAACGGUCCUAAGGUAGCGAAAUUCCUUGUCGGGUAAGUUCCGACCUGCACGAAUGGCGUAAUGAUGGCCAGGCUGUCUCCACCCGAGACUCAGUGAAAUUGAACUCGCUGUGAAGAUGCAGUGUACCCGCGGCAAGACGGAAAGACCCCGUGAACCUUUACUAUAGCUUGACACUGAACAUUGAGCCUUGAUGUGUAGGAUAGGUGGGAGGCUUUGAAGUGUGGACGCCAGUCUGCAUGGAGCCGACCUUGAAAUACCACCCUUUAAUGUUUGAUGUUCUAACGUGGACCCGURAUCCGGGUUGCGGACAGUGUCUGGUGGGUAGUUUGACUGGGGCGGUCUCCUCCUAAAGAGUAACGGAGGAGCACGAAGGUUGGCUAAUCCUGGUCGGACAUCAGGAGGUUAGUGCAAUGGCAUAAGCCAGCUUGACUGCGAGCGUGACGGCGCGAGCAGGUGCGAAAGCAGGUCAUAGUGAUCCGGUGGUUCUGAAUGGAAGGGCCAUCGCUCAACGGAUAAAAGGUACUCCGGGGAUAACAGGCUGAUACCGCCCAAGAGUUCAUAUCGACGGCGGUGUUUGGCACCUCGAUGUCGGCUCAUCACAUCCUGGGGCUGAAGUAGGUCCCAAGGGUAUGGCUGUUCGCCAUUUAAAGUGGUACGCGAGCUGGGUUUAGAACGUCGUGAGACAGUUCGGUCCCUAUCUGCCGUGGGCGCUGGAGAACUGAGGGGGGCUGCUCCUAGUACGAGAGGACCGGAGUGGACGCAUCACUGGUGUUCGGGUUGUCAUGCCAAUGGCACUGCCCGGUAGCUAAAUGCGGAAGAGAUAAGUGCUGAAAGCAUCUAAGCACGAAACUUGCCCCGAGAUGAGUUCUCCCUGAGACUU